GUCGGAUAAGAGCUUUAUUUAAUUUGCAUACAUCAGCACUUUAUACAUUUCAACUAAAUAGCAUUAUCUAACUUAGUAUUACAGUAUCUACGAUAUAGAAACAAAAUCAUCCAGGUUUCAUUUCAAGAAAGUCCUGGAUUUUAAACAAUAACAGUCCAUAUAUAUAUUAAACAUGUAUAUGAAUAUGAUUUAUUAAAAUUUCUCAUACCUGGCGAGCCACUUUCUAGCCUGUCUUCCCCUCGCUCAGAACGACUUCCACUCGCAAAACACAAGCCCUGUGCGCGGAAUCCAAAGUCAUCUUUAAAAUACUCAUCGAAAAGCAAGUCAAAUUGUUGUUCGGCCUCUUCGAUACUUAUCGCCUUUCUUCGAGGUAUUACAACGCUAGCCAUUUUAUUGUAUGUCGACAAAAUAGUCUGUCAAUUGAACGGUUUGAGCAUUAAAAAAAUUUCGUCCUGUGUGGGAGUUAAAACAGACUUCGACACAAAGAAACAACGAACGUGGGUGGUUUUACAACUUCUGGGAAGAAUAAAGAUUCAUCCUUCCUGUCGCAACCAACUCGAGUUUCCUUAGAAUUUGUAAACAAAAUUUUGGCAAUUUGGCAAUCGACACAUGCGUGGCAUCACGCGUGGAAAGGGGAUUCUUUCGUGGUGCACACGCGUGGAAAUUACGUGUUUCAUGCGUGGAUUUAACGCGUGGAAAGGGGGGAAUGAAAAAUUGCAAUUCUAUGUCUUACCCCCUUAGGUGCAGGGACGUCAAUACUGGGGGAGGAC